GACGAACGCUGGCGGCGUGCCUAAUACAUGCAAGUCGAACGAACCGCGACUAGGUGCUUGCACUUGGUCAAGGUGAGUGGCGAACGGGUGAGUAACACGUGGGUAACCUACCUCAUAGAGGGGGAUAACAGUCGGAAACGACUGCUAAUACCGCAUAGGACAUAGGAUCACAUGAUCCAGUGAGGAAAGGUGGCGCAAGCUAUCGCUAAGAGAUGGACCCGCGGUGCAUUAGCUAGUUGGUAGGGUAAAGGCCUACCAAGGCGAUGAUGCAUAGCCGACCUGAGAGGGUGAUCGGCCACAUUAGAACUGAGACACGGACCAAACUCCUACGGGAGGCAGCAGUAGGGAAUCUGCCGCAAUGGACGCAAGUCUGACGGAGCAACGCCGCGUGAGUGAAGAAGGUCUUCGGAUCGUAAAGCUCUGUUGUGAGAGAAGAACAGCGCAUAGAGUAACUGUUAUGCGUGUGACGGUAACUAACCAGAAAGCCACGGCUAACUACGUG
rnacentral:rRNA from 1 species